GACGAACGCUGGCGGCGUGCCUAAUACAUGCAAGUAGAACGCUGAAGAGAGGAGCUUGCUCUUCUUGGAUGAGUUGCGAACGGGUGAGUAACGCGUAGGUAACCUGCCUGGUAGCGGGGGAUAACUAUUGGAAACGAUAGCUAAUACCGCAUAAAAUUGAUUAUUGCAUGAUAGUCAAUUGAAAGGUGCAACUGCACCACUACCAGAUGGACCUGCGUUGUAUUAGCUAGUUGGUGGGGUAACGGCUCACCAAGGCGACGAUACAUAGCCGACCUGAGAGGGUGAUCGGCCACACUGGGACUGAGACACGGCCCAGACUCCUACGGGAGGCAGCAGUAGGGAAUCUUCGGCAAUGGACGGAAGUCUGACCGAGCAACGCCGCGUGAGUGAAGAAGGUUUUCGGAUCGUAAAGCUCUGUUGUAAGAGGAGAACGAGUGUGAGAGUGGAAAGUUCA
rnacentral:rRNA from 1 species